rnacentral:rRNA from 1 species
UACGGAGGGGGCAAGCGUUGUUCGGAAUUACUGGGCGUAAAGCGCACGUAGGCGGCUUGGUAAGUUGGGGGUGAAAUCCCGAGGCUCAACCUCGGAAUUGCCUUCAAAACUGCUUGGCUCGAGUUCGGAAGAGGUGAGUGGAAUUCCCAGUGUAGAGGUGAAAUUCGUAGAGAUUGGGAAGAACACCAGUGGCGAAGGCGGCUCACUGGUCCGACACUGACGCUGAGGUGCGAAAGCGUGGGGAGCAAAC